rnacentral:lncRNA from 1 species
AUGAUUGUAGAAGGAAAGACUUUCCUUUCUUGAGAAUUUGCAGCUAUAAUUCUGGAAGUUAAAUCGUAAGCCUUAUUCCUUCAAAUUUCUCUCUCUCAAAUUUCUCAAUCCAAAGCAAAAAACACCCUGCAGUAAUGAUCAUGUCCUCUAAUAAUCUCUCGAAUAUCCCAUCAUCAUCAUCAUUAUUCCCUCACUUUCAUCAUAAACCCUUUUUCUUUUACUCUCUGAAAAUCCAGCCAACGACCUUAAAGAUCGCAACUAAAAGGAGUGUAAAGAGAAAAAGAGCUCGAGAAAAAGAAGAAGAAAAACGUCGCUUGUAGAUUGAAGAUGGGCUCGUUGAAGAAGAAGAAACCCUAGCUGCCUAGCUACAAACUAUGAGUGAAGAAGGUUAAAUAAUACUAUGGCUUUCUUCUUCUUCUUUUACGCGCUCUCUCUUUCUUUCUCUCUCUCCUGAAUACCGGGGAAUUGAAGCCUGCUGGUCCGACUAAUCUAUAUUGUUCAUUAGAUCUAUGUGUGCAAGUUAUAUUAGUGUUUGAGAAAUUACUUUCCUUUUCUUUUUUCAUGUUAUUCUAUACUUCUAUAUAUGAGUGUUUAAUUUUAUCUUUAGCUAGGAAGAGAUUAAAUUAAAGCACGAUAUCAUCAUAUGAUGAGUUCGUUGCUUCAAUAUUUGUGCUGUUUUUGAGAGAUCUCAUUUGGAUUCCUGAUCUCCCCUUUUUAUUUUUUGUUUUGUUUGUGUGAUACAUCAUUACUAUGAGUGGUGCAACUAUAGCAAGCAUGAAGGAGCUGGUGAGUUUCUGAAUAUUUCUAUAACCAUGUAAUAAAAUAAAUGUUUGUUCUUUGAUGAUAUGAUGAACUUUCUCUUAAUGAAAGGUUGUGCAAUUAAUACUUUCAUUCUUCUUUUUUUUUUUUAAACUUUAUCCAAACUAACAAUUUUUGUGUUAAAAAGAAAUCUCAGAUCGAGGGCUAUCAAUCCGACAGUGCUCCGUUGGUCCAUUUAAUCAAUUCUCCCCAAGAACUAUGAUAUAUUGUUGUACUUCCAAAGGCCAUUUUUGAUUGAUCUAUUUUUUUUAAUAGAAAUUAUAGCUUCUUCUUGCUGAUUGUUUGGUAGUAAUUAGAAUCUAUUGAAAAAGGAUAUUUCGUCUUUUUACCCCUCCUCCUUCUUCACUUACUUAGCUGAAAAGCUAAAAGAUAGUGAUCU